UCUUACGACCACACCGGCCUGAGUACGCCUGAUCUCUUUUCUGAUCUCGGAAGCUAAGCAGGGUCGGGCCUGGUUAGUACUUGGAUGGGAGACUUCCUGGGAAUACCAGGUGCUGUAAGCU
ensembl:rRNA 5S_rRNA 5S ribosomal RNA